rnacentral:lncRNA from 1 species
AUAAUGGAGGGGAGUACACGAGUCAUGCAUUCAAGCAACACCUAUCACAACAUGGGAUCCUACAUCAAACAAGCUGUCCUUAUACUCCACAGCAAAAUGGAGUAGCUGAGAGGAAGAAUAGGCAUCUCAUGGAAGUGGCAAGGUCACUUAUGUUUCAGAGUAAUGUUCCAAAGAGAUUUUGGAGUGAUGCGGUUGCCACUGCUUGUUACCUAAUAAACAGAACCCCAACCAAAGUUCUGAAUGAGAAGGCUCCAUUUGAAGUUCUGAACAGGUACAAGCCAGCUCUUGAUUAUUUGCGAGUCUUUGGGUGCCUAUGCUUUGUACUCAAACCAGGAGAGAUGAUCAACAAGCUAGAAGCAAGGAGUACUAAGGCUGUGUUCAUAGGAUACUCAACUACACAGAAAGGAUACAAAUGCUAUGAUCCUAUAGCAAGGAGAGUUCUUGUAUCUAGAGAUGUGAAGUUCUUGGAAGAUAGAGGAUACUAUGAAGAAAAGAAUCAAGAAGACCUGAAGGAUUUAACAUCAGACAAGGCCACCACCUUGCGGAUCAUUCUUGAAGGUCUUGGAAUCAGUACAUCCCAGGAUCCAAGGAAUCACGCAACUACACCUCCUGAAGUUGGUUCACCAUCCCACCUUGAUCAUGAGGGAGGAGAGGAGCAUGAGGAGCCUAUGCAAGAGGCCAACCAAGAUGAAGGAGGAGUAGAGAAUGAAGGAGAAGAGAGCAUAGGCUCGGAUGGUCAUGGACAUGAUCAUGGUGUGACACAAACACCUUCUCCUUCUCAAAAUGAAGUGGUAGAAGAACAACAGGAAGAAGAACCGGUUGUGCAGCCACUGAGAAGGAGUACAAGGAUAAGGAAGGAUCCUUCCAGUUGGGUAAACACGAGAGUGUACUACAAUGCCCAAGCUGUGGAGCAUCCUUCUCAAGCCGUGUGCUCCUUUACUCAAUAUCCAGAAGCACAUUGCGCUUUCAUGGUAAACUUGGAUGAGAAUCACAUCCCAAGAAGCUAUGAAGAAGCAAUGAAAGAUAAAGAAUGGAAGGAAUCAGUUGGAGAUGAGGCAGGAGCAAUGAUCAAGAAUGAUACAUGGUAUGAAAGUGAGUUACCAAAAGGGAAGAAGGCUGUGACUAGUAGAUGGAUAUUCACAAUCAAGUACAAAGCGGAUGGAAAGAUUGAGAGGAAGAAGUCAAGGCUAGUUGCAAGAGGUUUCACUCAAACUUAUGGAGAAGACUACAUAGAAACCUUUGCACCAGUAGCUAAACUCCACACAAUCCGGAUUGUACUGAGCUUAGCUGUGAAUCUUGGAUGGGGUUAUGGCAAAUGGAUGUGAAGAAUGCGUUUCUACAAGGUGAACUUGAGGAUGAAGUGUAUAUGCAUCCACCUCCAGGCCUUGAACACUUAGUGAAGAGUGGAAAUGUGUUGAGGCUGAAGAAAGCCAUCUAUGGGCUGAAGCAAUCACCAAGAGCUUGGUACAACAAGUUGAGUACUACUCUGAAUGGCCGAGGCUUCAAGAAGUCUGAACUAGAUCACACCCUCUUCACACUCACGACUCCCUCAGGUAUGAUUGCACUUUUGUGUAUGUUGAUGAUAUCAUUAUCACAGGGAGUGAUAAGGAAGGUAUCAUAGCAACCAAGGAGUUUCUUAAAUCCAUGUUUGAGAUUAAAGACUUGGGAGAAAUGAAAUACUUUCUUGGAAUUGAGAUAUGUAGAUCCAAGGAAGGUUUGUUCAUGUCCCAAAGGAAGUAUACACUUGAUCUUUUGAAAGGUGCAGGUGCUUAUGGAGGCAAGACAGCAAGGAUGCCUAUGGAGGAUGGCUACAAAGUCCCACGAGAGGGGGAGAUUGAAGACAGCAAACCUUAUCAGGAUCCUAAACUCUAUAGAAAACUAGUUGGCAAAUUGAUUUAUCUCACUAUAACUAGACCUGACAUUUGUUUUGCUGUGAAUCAGGUGAGUCAACACAUGCAAGUACCUAAGGAACAUCAUUGGCGCAUGGUGGAAAGGAUCUUGAUGUAUCUCAACGGCUCACCUGAUCAAGGAGUAUGGAUGGGCUGCAAUGGAAGCACUGAAGUGGUGGGAUACUGUGAUGCGGAUUGGGCUGGUGAUAGAGCAGACAGGAGAUCAACCACAGGCUAUUGCACAUUCAUUGGAGGCAACUUGGUGACUUGGAAGAGUAAGAAGCAGAAGGUGGUGUCUUGCUCAAGUGCAGAAGCUGAGUAUAGAGCUAUGCUGAAGCUCACCAACGAGUUAGUAUGGAUCAAAGGCAUCUUGAAGCAUUUGGAGAUUGAUCAAGCCACGCCAAUGACCAUGCAUUGUGACAACCAAGCAGCUAUCCACAUAGCCUCCAACUCGGUGUUCCAUGAGAGAACCAAGCACAUUGAAGUUGAUUGCCACAAGGUGAGGCAGAUGAUCAUCUUAGGAGUCAUCUUGCCAUGCUACACAAGAAGUGAAGAUCAGUUAGCGGAUGUGUUCACCAAGGCUGCAAGACAGAAGACAAUGGAGUCCAUUCACAUACGGUUGGGCCUCAUUGAUCUUGGGAAGAGAAGGAGUUGAUCCCCUUGGCUGUGAGGUCUUUACUCUUUUUCCCUUAUCAAGGUUUUAUCCCAAUGGGUUUUCCUUGGUAAGGUUUUUAAUGAGGAAGAUCUCAUAGCUAUCCAAGCUUAGGCUUUCACAAAGCUAAGCUUGAGGGGGAGUGUUGAGUUGAGUUGAUUAUAUUGGUAUGGAGAGAAGAGGAGUUGAAGAGGAGAAGAGAUGGAGAAGCUUAGGGGGUUUGGGUGUGAAUGGUACGGACGUCCGUACAAGGCCGUACAUGGCCGUACCGUCCGUACCAAAGGCCUCGACCAAAACUUACCCAACUCGACCAAGUGAAACGGUAACAAGGGAGUGUUACCUUGGGGACUUAAGGAGAAGGGAUUAGACCGUUGAGUGGAUAAGGGAAGAGCGUGCCAGGCUGGAACAGGCUGUAAAGAGGCAAAGCGUGUGAGCCUUACCAUCCAAUCAUCCGGAAAGCAACCUUGACUCUACAUGCUUCAAUAGUGCCCAUUUCGCCUCUUGUAAACCCUAAUGUCUUCUAUAUAAAUAUGUAACCUCACUCAUUAAUAAGAUCAGUCAGUUCGAGUCUCUCUAAUCUCUUAGACUAUGGUUUUCUCUUAGACACUAAACGGCUCUUUCUAGUCUCUUAAUCUUUCACAAACUUCUCUUAAUCACUUCCUAAACACUCUCUUUACUCUAAUCACUCUAAAGAUCUCUUAAUCUCAUACAAUCAUGGAUAAAGAAUGGAAGGAGUCGGUUGGAGCUGAGGCAGGAGCUAUGAUCAAGAAUGAUACAUGGUACGAGAGUGAGUUACCAAAAGGGAAGAAGGCUGUGACUAGUAGAUGGAUAUUCACAAUCAAGUACAAAGCGGAUGGAAAGAUUGAGAGGAAGAAGUCAAGGCUAGUUGCAAGAGGUUUCACUCAAACUUAUGGAGAAGAUUACAUAGAAACCUUUGCACCAGUAGCUAAACUACACACAAUCCGGAUUGUACUAAGCUUGGCUGUGAAUCUUGGAUGGGGGUUAUGGCAAAUGGAUGUGAAGAAUGCGUUUCUACAAGGUGAACUUGAGGAUGAAGUGUAUAUGCAUCCACCUCCAGGCCUUGAACACUUAGUGAAGAGAGGGAAUGUGUUAAGACUGAAGAAAGCUAUCUAUGGGCUGAAGCAAUCACCAAGAGCUUGGUAAAACAAGUUGAGCACUACUCUGAAUGGCCGAGGCUUCAAGAAGUCUGAACUAGAUCACACCCUCUUCACACUCACGACUCCCUCAGGUAUGAUUGCACUCCUUGUGUAUGUUGAUGAUAUCAUUAUCACAGGGAGUGAUAAGGAAGGUAUCAUAGCAACCAAGGAGUUUCUUAAAUCCAUGUUUGAGAUUAAAGACUUGGGAGAAAUGAAAUACUUUCUUGGAAUUGAGAUAUGUAGAUCCAAGGAAGGUUUGUUCAUGUCCCAAAGGAAGUAUACACUUGAUCUUUUGAAAGGUGCAGGUGCUUAUGGAGGCAAGACAGCAAGGAUGCCUAUGGAGGAUGGCUACAAAGUCCCACGAGAGGGGGAGAUUGAAGACAGCAAACCUUAUCAGGAUCCUAAACUCUAUAGAAAACUAGUUGGCAAAUUGAUUUAUCUUACUAUAACUAGACCUGACAUUUGUUUUGCUGUGAAUCAGGUGAGUCAACACAUGCAAGUGCCUAAGGAACAUCAUUGGCGCAUGGUGGAGAGGAUCUUGAUGUAUCUCAACGGCUCACCUGAUCAAGGAGUAUGGAUGGGCUGCAAUGGAAGCACUGAAGUGUUGGGAUACUGUGAUGCGGAUUGGGCUGGUGAUAGAGCAGACAGGAGAUCAACCACAGGCUAUUGCACAUUCAUUGGAGGCAACUUGGUGACUUGGAAGAGUAAGAAGCAGAAGGUGGUGUCUUGCUCAAGUGCAGAAGCUGAGUAUAGAGCAAUGCUGAAGCUCACCAACGAGUUAGUAUGGAUCAAAGGCAUCUUGAAGCAUUUGGAGAUUGAUCAAGCCACGCCAAUGACCAUGUAUUGUGACAACCAAGCCGCCAUUCACAUUGCCUCCAACUCGGUGUUCCAUGAGAGAACCAAGCACAUUGAAGUUGAUUGUCACAAGGUGAGGCAGAUGAUCAUCUUAGGAGUCAUCUGUUGAGUUGAGCUAAGUAUAUGUAUGAAGAGCUAAGGAGUUGAAGAGGAAAGGAGAUGAGGAAGCUUAAGGGAGUUUAGGGAGAGCAUGGUACGGACGUCCGUACAAGGCCGUACAAGCCGUACAGUCCGUACCAUCCAAGCCUCAACCUAAACUUACCUUGCACAAGUGAAACGGUAACUAUGGAAGAGUUACUCAAGUGGAGAAGGAUCAGACCGUUUAAGGGAUAAGGGACGCGCAUUGCCAGGCUGGGACAGGCUGGAAAGCUAAAGCAACUUUAGUCCAAGAUGCCAUAAGCGUGUGAUGCCUCUUAGUGGCUAAUUUGAAUCCUUUACCUUGACUUCACAUGCUUACCCCUUAACCUUGCGCUUUGUAAACCCUAGUAGCUCUCCUAUAUAUUGUAACUCAUCAACACUAAUAAAGUUUAUGCAGUUUGAGUCUCUCUAAUCUCUUAGACACUAUGGUUCUCUCUUAGACUCUAAACGUUUCUCAAAGUUACUUAGUCUUUCAUAAUCUCUUCUAAACUUCACCUAAAACUCUCACUUACAUUCUAGUUACUCUAAAGAUCUCUUAAUCUCAUAUGGUAUCAGAGCCAGGUUCAUUAGAAUCUGGGGUUUGAUCUUUAGAGAGUUACAAGGCUUUGAAGCUACACGCGAGUAGCUUUGAAGGUAUUGGAGCUGCGCUACGUUCUGUGUUUGUGCGUGAUUCAAGACUCAAGAUUUCAUCAGAUUCAAGCUGUUCAAGUCAAGCUGAGUAAAGAUGGAGCAUGGGUUAAGCAUGAGGAUGAAGGUGGCGGUUACUUUCAAGGGUAGCAACUACCUUGUGUGGUCUCGGAUGGUGAAGACUGCGGUGGGGAGUAAGGGUUUGUGGGGGCACAUCACAACAGGGGAGGCUCCGAAACUCAUUACUCAGGGAGGAGAUCAAGAAGAGGUCUCCAAUGAAGCGGCUGUGGAGAAAUGGCAACAAGAAGACAUGCUGGUGAUGACGGUUCUACACGCAUCCUUGGACCCAGCUAUCUUGGAUGCUUACAGCUACUGUGAAUCAGCCAAAGAGCUGUGGGACACGCUGAAGAAGGUGUAUGGGAACACUUCCAACCUCAGCCGUGUGUUUGAAGUGAAGCUAGCGAUCAACCGUCUUGCACAAGAGGACAUGGAGUUCACUAAGCACUUGGGGAGGUUCAGGUCCUUAUGGUCAGAGCUGGAGAUGCUGAGGCCGAGCACAACUGAUCCAGAUCAGCUGAAUGAGAGGCGCGAGCAAGACAAGGUCUUUGGGUUGCUUCUCACACUGAACCCGGCCUACACUCAACUCAUUCAGCACAUGUUGAGGUCAGACAAGCUUCCGGACCUUGAGGAGGUGUGUGCGCAAAUCCAAAGGGAGCAGGGAUCUAUGGGGUUGUUUGGAGGAAAGGGGGAGCUCUCUCUUGCCAAUCAAGCAGCUCAUGAGGACUCAACCGAGGCUCCACAAGCAAACAAGGCAUCUCACGGGAAGUAUGAGGACAGGAAGUUCAAUGGCAACUGUGAUCAUUGCAAGAAGCAUGGUCAUAAGAAGAGCCAAUGCUGGAUACUUCACCCACACCUCAAGCCGGCCAAGUUCAUGAAGGAGCGUGAGGGAAGGGCAAAUGUGACUGAAGGUUCAAGUGGAGCUGGCACCAGCAAGAUGAGUGAAGUGGAUGGGCUUGGAGGCAAUGAUGGGAAUGGGAAGUCUCUUGUGGCUUACACUGGCGCCUCAAGCUCACGCAGCAAUGAUGACUACAUCAAGAGAUCAGACCUUGAUGCACUCUUCAAAAUGCUAAAGGAAAACGGUAACACUUAUGGUUAUUCCUUUGGAGCUUCUAUGAUUGCAUAUAAGGAUGAUCACUUGAUUAGAGAACUAGUAGAACGGUUAGAAACUAGAAUGAGUAUAGAAAUGCCCACAUUGCUAGAACUGAUAGGAUGCAUCCAUUACUUAGUAAUCUAUGUCAUAAUGCUAAACGAGUAGGUAAACCAUUGAUUGUUGAUUCUGGUGCAUCACAUCAUAUGAUAAGUGAUGAGAACUUGAUUAAGGAUAUAGAACCUACACAUGGGCAUGUGAUGAUAGCAAAUGGGGAUAAGAUACCUAUUAGAGGAAUAGGAAAGCUUAAGUUGUUUAACAAAGAAUCUAGAGCUUUUUACAUGCCUGAAUUCACAUCAAACCUAUUAUCUGUGAAGAAAUGUACUAAUGAUUUACAAUGCAAUGUUAUCUUUAGUCCUAAUGAUGUGAAGUUUCAGGAUAUUGAGAGCAGCAGAUUGAUUGGGAAAGGGGUGACUAAGGGAGAUCUCUAUAUGCUUGAAGAACUCACUUCUGUUCCUGAUUAUAGUUGCUCAUUUACUUCUGCUUCUUUGUUGAAUAAAAAUGCAUUGUGGCAUGCUAGAGUAGGACACCCUCAUGUUAAAGCUUUGAACUUAAUGGUACCAGGUGUUGUGUUUGAGAACAAAGAUUGUGAAGCUUGUAUUUUAGGCAAGCAUUGUAGAACUGUGUUUCAAAAGUCUACUACUAUCUAUGAUAACUGCUUUGAUUUAAUUCAUUCUGAUGUGUGGACUGCCCCUUGCUUAUCUAGAGAUAGUUAUAAGUACUUUGUCACAUUCAUUGAUGAAAAAUCCAAAUACACCUGGUUAACCUUAAUUCAGACCAAAGAUAGGGUACUUGAUGCAUUUAGGAACUUUCAAACUUAUGUAACUAACCAUUAUCAUGCUAAGAUUAAAAUUUUGAGAUCAGAUAAUGGAGGAGAGUACACAAGUCAUGCAUUCAAGGAACACUUAUCACAACAUGGGAUCCUACAUCAAACAAGCUGUCCGUAUACUCCACAGCAAAAUGGAGUGGCUGAGAGGAAGAAUAGGCACCUCAUGGAAGUGGCAAGGUCUCUGAUGUUUCAGAGUAAUGUUCCAAAGAGAUUCUGGAGUGAUGCGGUUGCCACUGCUUGUUACUUGAUCAACAGAACUCCAACCAAGGUUCUGAAUGAGAAGGCUCCAUUUGAAGUUCUGAACAGGUACAAACCAGUGCUUGAUUACUUGCGAGUCUUUGGAUGUCUAUGCUUUGUGCUCAAACCAGGAGAGAUGAUCAACAAGCUAGAAGCAAGAAGUACUAAGGCUGUGUUCAUAGGAUACUCAGCUACACAGAAAGGAUACAAAUGCUAUGACCCUAUAGCAAGGAGAGUUCUUGUAUCUAGAGAUGUGAAGUUCUUGGAAGAUAGAGGAUACUAUGAAGAAAAGAACCAAGAAGACUUGAAGGACUUAACAUCAGACAAGGCCACCACCUUGCGGAUCAUCCUUGAAGGUCUUGGAAUCAGUACAUCCCAGGAUCCAAGAGAUCACGCAACAACACCUCCUGAAGUUGGUUCACCAUCCCACCUUGAUCAUGAGGGAGGAGAG